rnacentral:sRNA from 1 species
GCGCCCGGAGGUCAACGUCCGGCAGCGCGUCGCGCCCCCGGGCGCGUUUGUG